rnacentral:lncRNA from 1 species
AUGGCCGGCCCAGAAAACCAGGAACAGGUUAAGGGGCCAGAAGACUGGGCAGGGCCGUGGAGUCUCCGUGGGGGCCGAGCCUGUGCCCGGGGAGCGCGGAUGCUGGCAGUGAGAGACGGCGGCGCUCCCAGGAAAGGGGUCCCCCCUCGGUGCCGCGGGCUGGGAGCCGCGCAGCCCUCGCCAGCGCCCCGCCCGCCCCGAGGCCCGAGCGCGAGGCGCCGCGGGAGGAAUUCCAGCCAUUUCCUCUGCGCCGAGCGGUACCGCUGCUGUCCUAAACCUCCCGGGAUCUUCCGCCCAUCCUGCCCAAGGCCUCUUCUGAUGGAGCAGACAGGGCGGCUUUUCAGGGCCCUGUUCAGCUGUACCUUCAUCUUAAGCAACGUAUGUGCAUUGAUGGAGCUUACCUGGUGCCAAGAGUGUGGUGAAAGGCAUGGAAAUACGGUGUGUGUGCAGAGAGAGCACUGGAGGAGUGUUGCUUCAAGCCUAAGCAAUCUCAGUGUAAGUUUGCUCUGUGUCCUUCCUUGCAAUCUCUGCACCUCAUCUAUGAACCCGCACUCAGGAGAUGGAAGCAGAGGAGCAGCACUGCAUUGACUUGCCCGAAGAAAUGUUCGACUGCACAAGCAUAGCCUUGGGAAGCAGCUUCCUGCCAGGGACAAGUACCUCUUGGUGGAGGCUGGAGCUGUGUCGAUGCUGACCUACUUGUCAGAGUCAAGGCCUGCAUGUGCUGAUGGCACGUGGACCGACACUCUGGGCUCACAGCCCACGCAGAGCCAAGAGGGGAGCCUCUUUCGCUGCGGUGCCCGUGGUAACAUCAGAAGCUUGCUUCGAAGCCAACACCAGCAAGGCCAUGCGU